rnacentral:lncRNA from 10 species
CCCUGGGGUUGGAAGCAAGGAUGGGGAGAAUGCAAAAAUUAGCAGGACCAGUUUAAAAACGGGGUUUUGGAGGGUUAAAAAGUGUGGAGAACACACUUGUUAAGUGCAUUAAGGUUGGGGAGCAAUUGGAGAAUACAGAUUCCCAACUCCUCCUGAACUAUCAGAAGUGUAGAGGCUGGUGCAGCUACAGAAACCAUGGACAUAAGGCGGCUUUCAUAAGGACUUAAUAUGAGGAAAAGUAACUCAUAGAAAGAUAUUAAAGCCAUGACAGCAAACAGCCCCUUUCUCCUAAGGUUCCUGAUUUGAAGUGGCAAAACAAGGCAGUGGCAUAGUCUCCUGUCCUAUGUCCUUGGCAUGCAGUUGGCUUCAGGUCACAUGUUGCUCUGGAGAACCGAGAAGGGUGAGCAGACACCAAUCAUGACCCCAAACAGCAAGAGGACAGAAGUCUGCAGGAUGCUCAGCAGGGGCACUCCCUGAACACGCCUGCUCCCACAGCAUGUGCAAAGGCUUCACACUUGGAUUGAGGGUUAUACAUUUCUUCAUGGACAUCCCCAAACAACACAGAACAGAGACAAGGUUUCUGGUCCUUUUGGAAUGUCCACACCAUUCCCAUUCUUCAAAAUCUGUCACACUUCCAGAUAGUUCCAGUGAACAAUGAACUCUCCCCCUAUGCAGUAACAGUUGAUUAUUCAAUUUAACACUGAAUUAUAUAUUCUCUGGAACUGUUCUCUAACAACUAUGAGGCGUUUUCAACGGUAGUUGAAUGGAAAAAUACCAAACUGGGAGUAAAAAGAUCUGGCUUCCAGGCCAGGCGCGGUGGCUCAUGCAUGUAAUCCCAGUACUUUGGGAGGCUGAGGCGGGCGGAUCACCUGAGCUCAAGAGUUCGAGACCAGCCUGGACAACAUGGUGAAACCCUGUCUCUACU